rnacentral:rRNA from 1 species
CUUGGUCAUUUAGAGGAAGUAAAAGUCGUAACAAGGUUUCCGUAGGUGAACCUGCGGAAGGAUCAUUAAUGCGACUUCGGGGGCUCCGGCCCCCGGAAUCUCCACCCGUUGCCCACGAUAUCAUCGUUGCUUUGGCGGGCGACCAACCUCGCAUCCGCCGGGAGCCAACCGAAACUCUGUUAAUAGGUGCCGUCUGAGCGAGAAUUAAAUAGCAUAAAACUUUCAACAACGGAUCUCUUGGUUCUGGCAUCGAUGAAGAACGCAGCGAAAUGCGAUAAGUAAUGUGAAUUGCAGAAUUCAGUGAAUCAUCGAAUCUUUGAACGCACCUUGCACCCUUUGGUAUUCCGAAGGGCAUGCCUGUUCGAGCGUCAUUAUCAACCAUCAAGCCUGGCUUGUCGUUGGACCUUUGGUCGUCAGGACCGGUCCGAAAGAUAAUGGACGGGCGUCUGGUGGCCCCCGAUGCAACGAGCUCUUUCAAAACAGCACGCAUCGGUGCGGUCGACAGCCCCGCCCCAAACCCCAAUUUUUCUCAGGUUGACCUCGGAUCAGGUAGGAAUACCCGCUGAACUUAAGCAUAUCAAUAAGCGGAGGA